UCGUAACAAAGGUGCGGGAGGCGCUCGGAGGCUGUCGCCGACUUGAAAAGGUUGUGCACGCCCGAGGGCGUCCUCUCGCACCAUAAUCCAUCUCACCCUUUUGUGCACCACCGCGUGGGCCCCCUCCUCGAGGGGGCUCACGUUUUCAUACAAACCCCCUUUGUAGAACCUAUGUAGAAUGAACCCACUCUUCGCGUUGACACGCGAUCAAAUA
rnacentral:misc_RNA from 1 species